rnacentral:rRNA from 1 species
GGCCCAGAUCGUUUACCGUGAAAAAAUUAGAGUGUUCAAAGCAGGCAGAUCCAAUUUUCUGCCACCGAAUACAUUAGCAUGGGAUAAUGGAAUAGGACCCUGUCCUCCUAUUUUCAGUUGGUUUUGGGCAGCGCGAGGACUAGGGUAAUGAUUAAUAGGGAUAGUUGGGGGCAUUAAUAUUUAAUUGUCAGAGGUGAAAUUCUUGGAUUUAUGAAAGAUAACUUCUGCGACGCUUCUCCGAAGGAUGUUUUCAUUAAUCAAGAACGAAAGUUAGGGGAUCGAAGACGAUCAGAUACCGUCGUAGUCUUAACCAUAAACGAUGCCGACCAGCGAUUAGGAGACGUUGAAUACAAAACACCACCAUCGGCGCGGUCGUCCUUGGCGUCGGUCCUUCACGGGGCCUGCGCGAGGGCGGCUUAGCCCGGUGGCACCGGUGAAUGACUCCCCUAGCAGCUUGUGAGAGGCCCAGAUCGUUUACCGUGAAAAAAUUAGAGUGUUCAAAGCAGGCAGAUCCAAUUUUCUGCCACCGAAUACAUUAGCAUGGGAUAAUGGAAUAGGACCCUGUCCUCCUAUUUUCAGUUGGUUUUGGGCAGCGCGAGGACUAGGGUAAUGAUUAAUAGGGAUAGUUGGGGGCAUUAAUAUUUAAUUGUCAGAGGUGAAAUUCUUGGAUUUAUGAAAGAUUAACUUCUGCGAAAGCAUCUGCCAAGGAUGUUUUCAUUAAUCAAGAACGAAAGUUAGGGGAUCGAAGACGAUCAGAUACCGUCGUAGUCUUAACCAUAAACGAUGCCGACCAGCGAUUAGGAGACGUUGAAUACAAAACACCACCAUCGGCGCGGUCGUCCUUGGCGUCGGUCCUUCACGGGGCCGGCGCGAGGGCGGCUUAGCCCGGUGGCACCGGUGAAUGACUCCCCUAGCAGCUUGUGAGA